rnacentral:rRNA from 1 species
CCUACGGGCGGCUGCAGUGGGGAAUAUUGCACAAUGGGCGCAAGCCUGAUGCAGCCAUGCCGCGUGUGUGAAGAAGGCCUUCGGGUUGUAAAGCACUUUCAGCGGGGAGGAAGGCGUUAAGGUUAAUAACCUUGUCGAUUGACGUUACCCGCAGAAGAAGCACCGGCUAACUCCGUGCCAGCAGCCGCGGUAAUACGGAGGGUGCAAGCGUUAAUCGGAAUUACUGGGCGUAAAGCGCACGCAGGCGGUCUGUCAAGUCGGAUGUGAAAUCCCCGGGCUCAACCUGGGAACUGCAUUCGAAACUGGCUGGCUAGAGUCUUGUAGAGGGGGGUAGAAUUCCAGGUGUAGCGGUGAAAUGCGUAGAGAUCUGGAGGAAUACCGGUGGCGAAGGCGGCCCCCUGGACAAAGACUGACGCUCAGGCGCGAAAGCGUGGGGAGCAAACAGGAUUAGAUACCCGGGUAGUC